GGCGAACGCUGGCGGCGCGCUUAACACAUGCAAGUCGAACGGAAAGGCCUGCUUUCCCUUGUGGAUUGCGGGUACUCGAGUGGCGAACGGGUGAGUAACACGUGAGUGAUCUGCCCCCAACUUGGGUAUAAGCCUGGGAAACUGGGUCUAAUUCCCGAUAGGACUGCAGGGUGGUGCCUGUGGUGGAAAACGAUUUUCUAGUGGUUGGGGAUGAGCUCGCGGCCUAUCAGCUUGUUGGUGGGGUAAUGGCCUACCAAGGCGGCGACGGGUAGCCGGCCUGAGAGGGUGGACGGCAACAUUGGGACUGAGAUACGGCCCAGACUCCUACGGGAGGCAGCAGUGGGGAAUAUGGCACAAUGGGCGGAAGCCUGAUGCAGCGACGCCGCGUGGGGGAUGACGGCCUUCGGGUUGUAAACUCCUUUCGACCGCGAGGAAGCCACCUGGUUGGAAGGGUGGUGACGGUAGUGGUAGAAGAAGCACCGGCUAACUACGUG
rnacentral:rRNA from 1 species